UACAGAGGUCUCAACCGUUGUUCGGAUUCAUUGAGCGUAAAGGGUGCGUAGGCGGUCGCGCAAGUCGGAUGUGAAAUCUCAGGGCUCAACCCUGAAACUGCAUUCGAUACUGCGUGGCUAGAGUGCUGGAGAGGAGACUGGAAUUUACGGUGUAGCAGUGAAAUGCGUAGAUAUCGUAAGGAAGACCAGUGGCGAAGGCGAGUCUCUGGACAGCAACUGACGCUGAGGCACGAAGGCCAGGGGAGCAAACGGG
rnacentral:rRNA from 1 species